rnacentral:lncRNA from 1 species
CUAAUUAAAAAUGCUCAUUACACACUCAGCCCAUUCACCGAACUUAUUCACAAGCUCUUUCUAUCAUUUCUCUUUCUACUCAAACCCUAGAAUCGAAAAGGCGUCGCCCCUUCUUCAACCUCCGCCGCUGCUCCUCCACCGAUCAACCGCAACCCACCUCUUCGAUCUCCCGCCGUGAUGUGUACUCCAAAACCCCCUUCGAUUUGUCCAGAAUUCAACCAAUCCUUGGUUGAAUUCGUCGAUUCCGAGUCUCUGAGCGGUGGUCACAUCUCCGACUCGCAAUUUUUUGAUGGUUGUGACUCUCGUAUAAAUCUUGGUGGCUACUUCCCAUGUCUUCCUC